UGUUAAGCAAUCGUAAAGUGAUUUAUGUAGAAAUCACCCUAUCUGAGGUUUGUUAAUAAAUUAUAUGGGUUUAAGGAAUUUCUGAAGUUAAAUUGAAUUUUUAACUCCGAAAUUGCAAUGCAUAUGUGAAAACCGGUGAUUUUAAACGAGAGUUUUAAAGGUAAAAGGAAAUGAUAUUUAAACUACUAUAUUUAGUGUUAUGUUAAGCAAUUUUAAAAUGAUUCACGUAGGAAUCACCCUAUCUCAUGCCAGCCAAUAAACUCUAUGCGUUUAAGUAAUUUCUGAAGUUAAAUUGAAUUUUUAACUCC
rnacentral:lncRNA from 1 species